GUAGGUGGCAAGCGUUGUCCGGAAUUAUUGGGCGUAAAGCGCGCGCAGGCGGUUCUUUAAGUCUGAUGUGAAAGCCCACGGCUCAACCGUGGAGGGUCAUUGGAAACUGGAGAACUUGAGUACGGAAGAGGAAAGCGGAAUUCCACGUGUAGCGGUGAAGUGCGUAGAGAUGUGGAGGAACACCAGUGGCGAAGGCGGCUUUCUGGUCUGUGACUGACGCUGAGGCGCGAAAGCGUGGGGAGCAAACAGGAUUAGAUACCCUGGUAGUCCACGCCGUAAACGAUGAGUGCUAAGUGUUAGGGGGUUUCCGCCCCCCUUAGUGCUGCAGCUAACGCAUUAAGCACUCCGCCUGGGAGUACGGCCGCAAGGCUG
rnacentral:rRNA from 1 species